GACUUUUCUCCCAAAUGUUCAAUUCCAGACAAUCAACAUCCUCAUGUUGGACAUGUUGGAAAAGGCAGACUUGAAGACCACCCUUUACCAUACUAAACGUGCUGCCAGACACUUCGAAGAAGAGUCCAAGGAUCUGGCCAGCCGCCUGCAAUACUCCUUACAGCGUACUCAAGAAUUGGAGCGAGCUCUCUCUGCUGUGUCUACACAGCAGCAAGAAGAGGACAGGGUGAGUCCAACCAGCUGCCCCGUCACCUGGCAGCCUGGCUUCCCAGAUGGAGGAGUGAGCCUAAAGCUCCUUUCUGCAGGAUGCAGUGUCCUGCCCAGAAGGCAGCAGGAUCAUUUCAAGCUGCUUUUGUGUAUGGUUGUUAGAGGCAGCCUGGCGCUGAGUCAGCUGCUGUGUGUGUGUUGGGGGCACUGUGGGCAGUGAGCACUGGACGCAGAGCUCAGAGACCAAGUGCCUGCCCUGCCCUUACCUGGCUGUGGCCUUGGCCAAGUCUUAGGUGGGGUAUUGGAUACUUGUAUUGUGAAGGUACAGAAGAGUACCUUUAGUAUGUUACCAUUUCUGUAGAGAGAGGAAAGUGUGUCUGUAGGUGUGUGUGUGUGUGUGUGUGUGUGUGUGUACAUACUAUGAUAAUGUACAUAAAACAUGUCUGUAAGUGUUUGUAAAAAACUCAGGAGAGAGUAACAAGGUGCCUGGGAGACACUUCCCUUCUGUACCUUCUGAGUUUUGGACUAUGCGAAUGUAUCAUCCUUUCAAAAAACAAACAAAAGAUAAACAAACAAAAAAUAAACAAAAGAUGUGCCCCCACCCCCAGCAAGAAAAAUGGGCUUAGAGAAUCGGACAGACCUGUCCAACUUGGUGUUCAAAUCCCAGCUCUGUCUAAGUGAUCUUAGGCAAGAACUUAACCUCGAAUACUCCAUGUUUUUCAUCUACACAAUAGAGGUUUUCCUAGUAACUGUCUCAUAUGGUGGUAGUGAGGAUUAAAUGGGAUUGUUAGCAUGGUACCUGGUGAACUCUGUAAAGGUUCAAACAGUGGUAGUAACAACAGUAACAACAAUGGCAAUAUUAUCUGAUCUCUCUGGGCCUCUUUGGUCAGCUGUAAAUUCGAUCUUUCUCUGUCGCUUCCAACUUUACUGAGUUCUUUUAAAAACCAGGCCAUGGACUUGGAAAUGCCUUGAUCUUUGUAGUCCUCAAGCCACAGUGAAGCAGUCCUCCAGCAGCAGUUACAGCAGUCCACAAAGGAGCAGGCGCUGCUGAACACACACGUGACACAGGUGAGGCUUUGCAGAGAAGGGAUGUGGAAGGAUGAUGAUCCCUACUGGCCAGGAGCAGGUGAGGACCAGUGACAGCCCUUCCUAACUUCUGUGCCCAUGCUUGCAGAUGACAGAGUCACUUAAACAAGUCCAGCUAGAGAGAGAUGAAUAUGCUCAACAUAUAAAAGGAGAGAGGGCCCGGUGGCAGGAGAGGAUGCGGAAAAUGUCGGUGGAGGUGAGACAUGACCCUUUAGCCCCCACCUUAGAUAGGUCACUGGAUCUUUCUGGGCAUCUGUAAAAUGGGACUAGUACAGCCAGAGGUGGUCAUGGGUCUGGGCUUUGUGGAGGUGGGGGCAGAGAGGGAGAUGGUAGCUUGUCCAGCCACCAGCCCCUCUCUCCAGGGCCCUUCCCCUCUGUGCUUUGGGCAGGCUCACACAUUGAAGGAGGAGAAGCGUGACAUACAUCAGAUACAGGAGCUGGAGAGGAGCUUGUCCGAACUCAAACCCCAGAUGGGUAAAAUGGGGCUGGUGUGACAUGGGAGCAGGACUGGCAUCAGAGGACUGUGGGGGUGGCUUAGAAUGCCCCAGGGAGGUGGGUGGAUGGAAGGGCUUUGAGGCAGAGGGAAAGAGGUCUGUGCCAGGAGACAGCAAGUUUUGUCAUCUCCAUGAACCUCAGGGUCCCCAUCAGCAAAGAGGGAAGAGUGCCCAUUGUCAGCCACCCACAGUGCUCUCUAUCUGAAAGUGGCUUGGAAAUUGGCUACCAUCAGGUGCAAGGAAUCAUUAGUAGUGAGGCCAAGUUUGGGAAGCCUGAGAGGAGCUGUGCAUCAAGAGGAGGGUUUUAUUUUUUCUUUUGGGUAGGGGGGCGGUGGUUGGGGAAUCCAGAGGCCCUUAUUGUCUGCUUCCUUUCUCAGCUGAGCCCCUGUCCCCAGCACCCCAGCAGGGGCUUCUGAGGUGAAUACAUGGAAAGCAUUAGGCUUGUAGCACACUUAGCAGAUGGUCGUUGGCUCCCUCUGCUUUUCCACCAGUCUGUAGCCUACAGUUUCAAUGGUAGGAAGGAGGACAUGAGAUUUGAGGCUGGGGAAGGAGGCAUGGGGUUCUAGGCAAGGGAGACAGUCUCUUAGGCCUGGAGCAAGGGGCCAGGGGCCUGGGCAGCUGACAGCCCCACAGUGCCCUUGCUACUCUAUUAAUGGGCCCAGAAUCUGGAAGCCAGCCACCACGUGCCCUCAGGCCCAGGGUCUUCCUGCAGGUGGAGCUGAAGAGCCAAGAGUCUCAGAGUCUGCAGCAGAAGUGAGACUAGUACUUGCAGCAGUACCUGGCCAGCUAUCAGCAGCUGACCUCCGAGAAGGAGUUGCUGCACAGGCAGUUAUUGCUGCAGACCCAGCUCAUGGACUGGCUGCAGCAGUAGGAAGCUCAGGGCAAAGCAGUGGCUGAGAUGGCCUACCAUAAGUUGCAGGAGACCCAGGGGAGGGAGUUGCAGAGGAUGGAGCCCUGAGGGGAUGACCUGGCAACCUCCAUGCCUUCUCAGUCUGUUUUCUGUCCCCUUAGGAGCACCUAGAAACUGCCAGCCAUCAGAACCAACAGCUAGAGAGCCAGCUGAGCGUCAUGGCUCUCCCUGGAGAAGGUACAGGAGACCACUCAGAGGAAGAGGAGAGAGCCCCAGGAGGAAGGGACUGUUAGCAGCAUAGGAUUGAGGAGUUGGAAGAGACCUUUAGAAUAGCUGGUCGUUAUGCCAAUCAGGUGUUUGCACUAAGUUCGGCAUCAAUAUGGUAACCUUCUGGGAGCAGGGGCCACCAGGUUGCCUAAGGAUGAGUGAACUGGCCCAGAUCAGAAAGGGAGCAGGUCAGAACUCCUGCACCAACCGGUAGUGGGACUGUGCCUGGGCAAUAUAGCAAGACCUUGGUUCUUAAAAGGGAAAAUUAAGAACAGCAGUUCAUUCCCCUCUGGGGAGGGGCUGGCUCAGGGUUACACAGUGAGGGUGAGGACAGAGAUGGGCCCACAGUACUUCCCUUGCUGGGUUGUCUGAGGACCCCUCUGGCCACCUCCCCACAGGAAAUGGAGGAGGACAUCUGGACAGUGAGGAAGAGGAGGCACCUCGGCCCAUGCCGAGUAUCCCACAGGACCAGGAGAGCUGGGAGGCCACGGUGAGCCUGACUUUCCNUUUUGGGGUUUUAAUAGAAAUUUUCCAAUUAUCCUCCAGGAAAAGUGACUGAGGUUAUCCUCCCACCAACAAGGACAGAGCUCCAGGUUCCCCCUUCCGUUUGUCAUCUUUGUUGCCUUUAUACAGAAAAUCUCAUUGUUUUCAUCACAUUUCUU
ensembl:lincRNA